rnacentral:rRNA from 1 species
GACGGACGCUGGCGGCGUGCUUAACACAUGCAAGUCGAGCGGUAAGGCCCUUUCGGGGGUACGACGAGCGGCGAACGGGUGAGUAACACGUGGGUGACCUGCCCUCAGCUCUGGGAUAAGCCUGGGAAACCGGGUCUAAUACUGGAUAUGACUCCAUGACGCAUGUUGUGGGGUGGAAAGCCUUGUGCGGCUGAGGAUGGGCCCGCGGCCUAUCAGCUUGUUGGUGGGGUGANGGCCUACCAAGGCGACGACGGGUAGCCGGCCUGAGAGGGCGACCGGCCACACUGGGACUGAGACACGGCCCAGACUCCUACGGGAGGCAGCAGUGGGGAAUCUUGCGCAAUGGGCGAAAGCCUGACGCAGCGACGCCGCGUGAGGGAUGACGGCCU